rnacentral:rRNA from 1 species
AUUGAACGCUGGCGGCAGGCCUAACACAUGCAAGUCGAACGAGUGGCGGACGGGUGAGUAAUGUCUGGGAAACUGCCUGAUGGAGGGGGAUAACUACUGGAAACGGUAGCUAAUACCGCAUACCAUCGGAUGUGCCCAGAUGGGAUUAGCUAGUCGGUGGGGUAACGGCUCACCUAGGCGACGCUCCCUAGCUGGUCUGAGAGGAUAACCAGCCACACUGUGACUGAGACACGGUCCAGACUCCUACGGGAGGCAGCAGUGGGUAAUAUUGCACAAUGGGAGCAAGCCUGAUGCAGCAAUGCCGCGUGUAUGAAGAAGGCCUUCGGGUUGUAAAGUACUUUCAGCGGGGAGGCGUUACCCGCAGAAGAAGCACCGGCUAACUCCGGGCCAGCAGCCGCGGUAAUAC